CACGUAGGGGGCGAGCGUUGUCCGGAUUUAUUGGGCGUAAAGAGCUCGUAGGCGGCUCAGUAAGUCAGGUGUGAAAACUCCAGGCUCAACCUGGAGACGCCACCUGAUACUGCUGUGGCUAGAGUCCGGUAGGGGAGCAUGGAAUUCCUGGUGUAGCGGUGAAAUGCGCAGAUAUCAGGAAGAACACCGGUGGCGAAGGCGGCCCACUGGUCCGGUACUGACGCUGAGGAGCGAAAGCGUGGGGAGCGAACAGG
rnacentral:rRNA from 1 species